UGCAAGUCGAGCGCGCCCUUCGGGGUGAGCGGCGGACGGGUUAGUAACGCGUGGGAACAUACCCUUUUCUACGGAAUAGCCUCUGGAAACGGAGAGUAAUACCGUAUGAGCCCUUCGGGGGAAAGAUUUAUCGGGAAAGGAUUGGCCCGCGUUAGAUUAGGUAGUUGGUGGGGUAAUGGCCUACCAAGCCUACGAUCUAUAGCUGGUUUUAGAGGAUGAUCAGCAACACUGGGACUGAGACACGGCCCAGACUCCUACGGGAGGCAGCAGUGGGGAAUCUUGGACAAUGGGCGCAAGCCUGAUCCAGCCAUGCCGCGUGAGUGAUGAAGGCCUUAGGGUCGUAAAGCUCUUUCGCCUGUGAAGAUAAUGACGGUAGCAGGUAAAGAAACCCCGGCUAACUCCGUGCCAGCAGCCGCGGUAAUACGGAGGGGGUUAGCGUUGUUCGGAAUUACUGGGCGUAAAGCGCACGUAGGCGGACUGGAAAGUUGGGGGUGAAAUCCCAGGGCUCAACCCUGGAACUGCCUCCAAAACUAUCAGUCUAGAGUUCGAGAGAGGUGAGUGGAAUUCCGAGUGUAGAGGUGAAAUUCGUAGAUAUUCGGAGGAACACCAGUGGCGAAGGCGGCUCACUGGCUCGAUACUGACGCUGAGGUGCGAAAGUGUGGGGAGCAAACAGGAUUAGAUACCCUGGUAGUCCACACCGUAAACGAUGAAUGCCAGUCGUCGGGUAGCAUGCUAUUCGGUGA
rnacentral:rRNA from 1 species